UACGGGAGGCAGCAGUGGGGAAUAUUGCACAAUGGGCGCAAGCCUGAUGCAGCCAUGCCGCGUGUAUGAAGAAGGCCCUUCGGGUUGUAAAGUACUUUCAGUCGUGAGGAAGGUGUUAAGGUUAAUAACCUUAGCAAUUGACGUUAGCGACAGAAGAAGCACCGGCUAACUCCGUGCCAGCAGCCGCGGUAAUACGGAGGGUGCGAGCGUUAAUCGGAAUUACUGGGCGUAAAGGGCACGCAGGCGGUUAAUUAAGUUGGAUGUGAAAUCCCCGGGCUUAACCUGGGAAUGGCAUUCAAGACUGGUUAGCUAGAGUCUUGUAGAGGGGGUAGAAUUCCAUGUGUAGCGGUGAAAUGCGUAGAGAUGUGGAGGAAUACCGGUGGCGAAGGCGGCCCCCUGGACAAAGACUGACGCUCAUGUGCGAAAGCGUGGGGAGCAAACAGGGAUUAGAUACC
rnacentral:rRNA from 1 species